CCUACGGGUGGCAGCAGUGGGGGAUAUUGCACAAUGGGGGAAACUCUGAUGCAGCGACGCAGCGUGAGGGAAGACUGUCUUCGGAUUGUAAACCUCUGUCUUUAGGGGAGAAAAUGACGGUACCCAAAGAGGAAUCUCCGGCUAACUACGCACCAACAGCCGCGGUAAUACGUAGGGGGCGAGCGUUAUCAGGAAUUACUGGUGGUAAGGGGAGCGUAGGCGGGCGAGAAAGUUGAAUGUGAAAUUUAGCGGCUAAUCUGGUAGCUGAGUUGAAAACUUCGUGUCUUGAGUGAAGGAGAGGCAGGGGGAAUUCCGAGUGUAGGGGGGAAAUGCGUAGAUAUUAGGAGGAACACCAGUGGCGAAGGCGGCUUGCUGGGCUCUAACUGACGUGGAGGUUCGAAAGCGUGGGGAGCAAACAGGAUUAGAUACCCUGGUAGUC
rnacentral:rRNA from 1 species